rnacentral:rRNA from 1 species
CUUGUUCUUUAAAUGAGGACUCGUAUCAACGGCACUACGAGGGCUAUACUGUCUCCUUUUUCUAAUCAGUGAAACUGAUCUCCCCGUGAAGAAGCGGGGAUUAUAAUAUAAGACGAGAAGACCCCAUGGAGCUUUAAACUCACCAUGCACCUCUGUGCUUUCAUACCCCUAAACACAACAGACCUGCAUGUUAGUUUUAGGUUGGGGUGACCACGGAGUAUAACUUAACCUCCACAGCAAACGGGCUAAUACCCUUAUCCACGAGACACAACUCUAAGAAUUACUAAACUAAUGCUUACGACCCGAUAUUCGAUCCAUGAACCAAGUUACCCUGGGGAUAACAGCGCAAUCUACUUCAAGAGCCCAUAUCGACAAGUAG